GAUGAACGCUGGCGGCGUGCCUAAUACAUGCAAGUCGAGCGAACAGAUGAGGAGCUUGCUCCUCUGACGUUAGCGGCGGACGGGUGAGUAACACGUGGAUAACCUACCUAUAAGACUGGGAUAACUUCGGGAAACCGGAGCUAAUACCGGAUAAUAUAUUGAACCGCAUGGUUCAAUAGUGAAAGACGGUUUUGCUGUCACUUAUAGAUGGAUCCGCGCCGCAUUAGCUAGUUGGUAAGGUAACGGCUUACCAAGGCAACGAUGCGUAGCCGACCUGAGAGGGUGAUCGGCCACACUGGAGCUGAGACGCGGUCCAGACUCCUACGGGAGGCAGCAGUAGGGAAUCUUCCGCAAUGGGCGAAAGCCUGACGGAGCAACGCCGCGUGAGUGAUGAAGGUCUUCGGAUCGUAAAACUCUGUUAUUAGGGAAGAACAAAUGUGUAAGUAACUAUGCACGUCUUGACGGUACCUAAUCAGAAAGCCACGGCUAACUACGUG
rnacentral:rRNA from 1 species